UACGGGGGGGGCAAGCGUUGUUCGGAAUUACUGGGCGUAAAGGGUUUGUAGGUGGCCCGCUAAGUCACACGUGAAAUCCCUCAGCUUAACUGGGGAACUGCGUGUGAGACUGGCAGGCUCGAGGGCAGGAGAGGAACGCGGAAUUCCAGGUGUAGCGGUGAAAUGCGUAGAUAUCUGGAGGAACACCGGUGGCGAAGGCGGGUAGCUGGGCCAACACUGACGCUGAGACGCGAAAGCUAGGGGAGCAAACGGG
rnacentral:rRNA from 1 species